rnacentral:rRNA from 1 species
AACGUAGGAGACGAACGUUAUCCGGAGUUACUGGGCGUAAAGGGCGUGUAGGCGGUUUGUUAAGUCUGGCGUGAAAGCUCUCGGCUAAACCGGGAGAGGUCGUUUGGAUACUGGCGAACUAGAGGAUGGUAGAGGCGUGUGGAAUUCCGGGUGUAGUGGUGAAAUGCGUAGAGAUCCGGAGGAACACCAGUGGCGAAGGCGACACGCUGGGCCAUACCUGACGCUAAAGCGCGACAGCAUGGGGGAGCAAAACGGGG